rnacentral:rRNA from 1 species
AUUGACCGCUGGCGGCAGGCCUAACAAAUGCAAGUCGAGCGAGCGGCGGGCGGGUGAGUAAUGUAUGGGGACUGCCCGAUAGAGGGGGAUAAAUACUGGAAACGGUAGGUAAAACCGCAUAAGAUCGGAUAACCCAUAUGGGGUUAGCUAGUAGGGGAGGUAAUGGGUCAACUGGGCGACGAUCCCUAGCUUGUCUGAGAGGAUGAUCAGCCACACUGGGACUGAGACACGGCCCAGACGCCUACGGAGGCAGCAGUGGGGAAUAUUGCACAAUGGGCGCAAGCCUGAUGCAGCCAUGCCGCGUGUAUGAAGAAGGCCCUAGGGUUGUAAAGUACUUUCAGUCGGGAGGCGUUACCGACAGAAGAAGCACCGGCUAACUCCGUGCCAGCAGCCGCGGUAAUAC